CUCAGCGGGCUUGGGUCGUCCGGCCGCGGGGUCAGGGAAGACCAGAGGACCACUAGCCCCAGGAAGCUUCCCACCACCAGCAAACUGCGUGGUGAAUUUGUAACCGAAAGGCCCAGGUGAGAUGUGCAAAUAUCACUGGAUUGGAGGAGCUCACUUGGAAAGCCAGUAUUCCUCCUGAGCUAAUGAAAAGAAAGGCUGUCGUCUUAUGCCAAAAGCAAUACCAACCUUGUUCACGGGCUGAGAUCUAGAGUGUGUAAUUCACGAAGUAUGAAUCUGCUGGGUAAUGUGAUAUGAAAAGCGAAUGCACCAUUUCUUGGUGAUGAUUCAGGUCAGCGUUGGGACCCAGGAAUCUCCUGUUAAUCAGUACCCUGGUGAUUUUGAUCCAGAGACGGGGUCUAUUAUCUGGUCCUGUUGUCAAGGCUGGUCUCAAACUCCUGGCCUCCAGCGAUCCUCCCUUUUUGGCCUCCCAAGAUGCUGGUAUUACAGGCAUGAGCCACCAUGGUCCACCCGGACUCCUUUUCAUAGGAGACAGUUCCCUAGGCAGAGACUGGGCUUGAAACAGUUCCUCUAAAGAAGAGGGUAGAGACUAGAACUGAAUGAGAUGGACAUAGAGAUGGCCAAGAAAAGCAUCGUCCUCUGCCAAGUCAUGGGGUCAUGUGUGGUGGAUGGUGACAUGGUGUCCUCAGCUCAGAGUCCAGCUGGGGGCUCAGAAGCAAGGGAAGCCCAGCAGAGGGAAUUGUAUCCAUUUUGGGGCUACACUACCCCAAUGCUAUGCUGCAGCCAAGCUGAACUUCUAAGUUUCUAAAUGUAACUCACUUACCUUCAGGCCUUUGUACGGGGAGUUCUUUUUGCCUGAAAUACCUUCUGACAUCUUAACAUUACGCUUAGAUGUCAGUUACAAAAAAGCUUUUUCUAGACUCUCUCACAUGUCCCACUCCACACCCCUAUAUCUCUUCCCACCAAUGUACUAGGGUAGGUAUCCUGCUAGGUACUUCCACUGCACCCUCUACUUUUCUUCCCUAAUGAUUACCACUAUAUUGUAAUUGCUUAAUUUCUUUUUCCUAUACCCAGAUAAAAAUGUGUAUGAAGGUGGAGCCUUGUCUAUCUAGUUCGUUAUUGUUAUCCGUGUCUGGUAUGUGGAAAGGGCUCAGUGAGUAUUUCUUGAUGGAAUGCUGAAUGAAUAAUGGGAUUGAAAAUAUAAAAGGCAGACAAAACUUAGAAGAGGGGCCAGGUUUACUUCAAUUGCUAUUCCUCCUCACUGGGAGGUUUUUCUUCCAAGGACAAAACUUUGGAGGUUUUAUUAAAUUAGAAAAGUGAUUAUUUUACAUAUGGUCAUCAUCAUCAAUUGAUAGGCUGUUGUUUCCCCCUUACUCAGCAUCCUACUAAGGCUGCUUAGAACUAAGAAGAAAGGGUAAUUUUAAUUUAAGUUCAUAUUUUUGUAUGUACGGAGAUUUAAAAAAAACAGCUACAUUAAAAUGGGAAUAUGUAGCCAUAGGGAAUUAUUUGCAAACAAAUUUCAGUAUUAUCUAUGUGUGGUUGCCAAGAACUCAGGUUAAAUUAGAGUCAGUGACCUCUAAAUGACUAAAUAUCCUAUCACCUAUUCUAUAAGCCAUUUAAUCACCUCUUUUCAAAGAAGAAGAGCACAAUUGGUAGUAUCUUUAAAGGAAGAUACAUUUUAUUGUUUAGAAAAUAACUACUAUUUAGAUAUCAAGGGAAGCAUAGUGUAAGUUUGUUAAGAAUUUAUUAAUUUUGUGUACUGUUCAUUAGUUACCUCUUACUGCUUAACAAAUGACUCCAAAGUUUAGCACUUUCAAACAACAAACAUUUACUUCACACAGUUCCUGAAGUCAGGAAUCUAAGAGUGGCUUAACAAGGUGGUCUGGCUCAGGGUCUCUCAUGAGGUUCUUACCAAACUAUCAGCUGGGACCACUAUCAUAACCAACUGGGCCUGGAGAAUUUGCUGUCAAGUUCACCCACAUGGCCAGCAGGCAGGCCUCAGUUCCUCACUGGCAGGCGGUGGGAGGCUUCAGUUCCUUGUCACCUGGGCUUCUCCACAGGGCUACUCAUGACAUGCCAAGCUGACUUCCCCCCUUCAUGAAAGAUCUGAGGGAGAGAGAGCCCAAGGCAGAAUCCACAGUCUUGUAUAAGAAAUAAUCUGUAUACUGCCUUCAUCUGUAAAAUGAAGGUGUUGGACCAAAUGAUCUUUAACAUUCUUUCCAAUACUGAAAUUCUGAGAUUUUCCUAUGAUGCCGAUGUGUGAUUGAGACUAAUUUGUGCUUUCAUGUGGAAUACUAUGAGGUAAAAUCCUGCCUUUGUACUUUUUUUCUGACAUGGGGUACUAUUUCUAUCAUAAGCUUGAGAUGGAUAAUUCCUGAGUUGUGCUCAUCUGGAAUAAAGGACUGUUGUCAAGGGCUUCCAUUUAAUGAGGUUAAGGGUCUCCUACAGUGUUUGGAAAGCAAAAAUAUUUAUGUAAAAGCCCUCAGAUUUCACAUCGUAGAACACUACCUCUUCAUAAUUUGGUACUGUUUUUGGACUCCCAUAAUUCAGAAGUGCUCUUCUGAUCUAACCAUUUAUUUAAGAGGUGAUUGAAACGGAUUUUGUCUCUUACCACUCUUGUUUAAAACCUCUUCAACAGCUUCCCAUUGCUCUUAUAUUUAAGCCCAAAUUCCUCCAUUUAUUACAAAGCCUUUGUGAGCUUGCCUCUGCUUACCUCUGCAGCCCCAUGGCUGGUCAGUUAUCCCCUCUUUUGCAACUUAAACUAUAGCCAUGUUGAUUUUCUCUCCAUUUCUGAAAUAGGCUAACUUCCCUCUCACUUCUAGACCUUGUGUGUGUUAUUCUCUCGCUUAGAACACUCUGUGGUUCUUACACCAACCCCUCUCCCAUGAACUCCCUGAUAAUCCUUCAGAUUUCAAUUUAUACAUCAGUUCUUUCAGAAACCUCUAAUUGUCUUCAGUCCCCGAUCCCACUGCUAGGUUAGAAGACCCUCCUUCAUGCUCUCAAAGCACCCUGUAAGUUCUCCCUCAGAGCAUAUAGACCAAGUUUCUUUUCUUUUCUUUUCUUUUCUUUUCUUUUC
rnacentral:lncRNA from 1 species